UGGUAUGUAUGUUGUUAUGGAUUCUGUUACGUUUCUCUGAAAAAUGGAGGUUUUUUGCUUUAAGCAUUUAAGCACUCUGGACCCACCUGAACAGUCAAGACGAGAGUGAGGCAGACGAGGUGCUGAGAGCACCAAGUUUAAGGAGGCCCAUGCUAUCAGCUUCAUGCCACUGGGAAUGGUUGUGUCGUUUUGUCUGAUGGUCUCUUACUCUGUUAAUGUGGUGAAUCACAUUGAUUUCUUUUUUUAAAAAUUAAUUUUUAUUUAUUUUUGGCUGCAAUUGGGUCAUCGUUGCUGCACAGGCUUUCUCUAGUUGUGGCGAGCAGGGGCUACUCUUCGUUGCAGUGCGUGGGCUUCUCAUGCAGUGGCUUCACUUGCUGUGGAGCACGGGCUCUAGGUGCGCAGGCUUCAGUAGUUGUGAUGCGAGGACUCUAGAGCGCAGGCUCAGUAGUUGUGUCCCACGGCCUUAGCUGCUCCGUGGCAUGCGGGAUCUUCCCGGACCAGGGCUCGAACCCGUGUCCCCUGCAUUGGCAGGUGGAUUCUUAACCACUGCACCACCAGGGAAGUCCCAAAACUAUAUUUCUUGUCAUUCGUGAUCACUGAAGUCUGUUACUUUAGCUUGUGUUCAGCUAAUGUUUUAUCACAGAUUUCCUUAUAUUCCUGGAUCCAAUAAGAUUAAAAAAAAAAGAAGCUAUUCUGCCCUUUUAAAUCACCUGACCCAUGCUGCCAGGGAAGCUACUUCAGGUUUUGGGUGUUGAAAUAAUGACCAGAUUCUGAACCAGCCCCUCAGCAAACCGCCAGGCAGAUUAAAAUACACAACUCAAAUUUUUGGAGGAGAAAGUCCCUAUUGUCCACCCUGGCUUCAGCAAGCUGUACCAGUAACAUGAGGGUGCUGUCCCCAUGGCUGCCUGCCACAGACUGUAUGAUGGGGGAUGGUAGUUGCUACGUGAAAUGCCAAAAUUCACUGAAAUUUACCAGCUUUUCUAUAUGGAGCACUCCCCUGGAUAUUGCAAGUGUUUGCGUAGACUCCAUAGUUCCAAAAUAGUUAAUUCAUACAGUUCUUAGAAGCUCAGUAGUUGAUUUGGUUGGGGGACAAUUCCUGGAGCAUAUCUAUGUUGGAAGGUUUUUAAUUACAAAUUCAAUUUGUUGAUAAGUCUACUCAGUCUACCUAUUUCUUUAGUAAAUUUGGUAGUUUGUGUAUUUCGAGGAAUUAGUCUGUUCCAUCUAAGAUGUCAAAUUUAUGAGCACAGUUUUUCAUAGGAUUCCUUUAUUAUCCUUUUUACAGAUGUGGAUGUGGUAUGAAGCCUGAAAUUAAGGUUCAGUAUUACGUGCUGCCUUAACAUUUGGUUCAGCUGGGAAGGCCUGGAAUGGCCUAACUACAAGUUCCGCUACCCACUGUACUUCCGGAUAAAGCCCCCCAGCCAAACAACUCUCCUUAUCAAACUGAACAGGUGCAGUUCCUGCUUAUCCCUGAGUAAGCAUUUUCAGUUCCCUUCCAGCUCAUGGGGUUAUUCAAACAACCACAUCCUCCCAUGGGAACGGGGUCUCCCACUCUUGAUACUACAAAGCCUGCCUCCUGUAGCCCUAGGUUGUUCACUGUGUUCCCAAGUGACGCCCAUGUGAUCCUACUUGGCUUGCAGUGUCCUCGGGUGUAUGUGUGACUGAUAAACUACAGUUCAUCUCAUCUGGCCAGUGUCAUAGUGUCACAUCCAGCCACCCCCAUGUACACAGGGUGGGAAUACUGCCUCCAUAACAGGGCAAAUAGGUGGUAGGUAGAGCAACGGAGCUCAUCACAGAGAGCCCAUCUCUCAUUCCUGAUAGUGGUCAUUUGUAUCCUCUCUUUUUCCUCGGUCAUUCCAGCCAGAGUUAAUUUGUUGAUUUUUUUCUUUUUUAAAGACUCAACUUUGAUUUCAUUGAUUUUUUUUUCUCCUUAAUUUUAUUUAUUUUUUCAAUUUUUGCUGAUUAUUUGCUAUGGGUUAUAUUCAUUCUUUUCUAGUUUAAGGUAGAAUUGUAGAUGACUGAAUUUUAGGUUUUCUUUGUGCUAUAAAAUUCCCUAUAAACACUUUUAACUGCAUUUCACAAAUCUGAUAUAUUUUCAUGUUCAUUCUGUUACAAUUAUUUUCUAAUUCCCUUUAAGACUUCUUCUUUGAAUCAUGGAUUAUUUCAAAAUAUGUCUAAUUUCCAAACAUUUAAGGAUUUAAAAAAUAUUUUUAUUAUUGAUUCCUAGUUUAAUUCCCUAAUUGUCAAAGAGCAUACUAUGUAUGAUUUUCAUUCUUUAAAGCUUGUAAGUUUUGUUUUAUGACCCAAGAUUUGGUCUAUAUUGGUGAAUGUUCCAUGUGCAUUUGAAAAGAAUGUGUAUUCUGUUGAGUAGAAUGCUCUAUCAAUGACAAUUACAUUGACUGGUGUUGCUCAGAGCUUUUAUAGCCUUGCUGACUCUCUGUCUACUUAUUUUAUCAAUUACCUAGAGAAGAGUGUUGAAGUAUCAAAAUGUAAUGUGGAUUUAUCUAUUAUUUUAGUUCUUUCAGCUUUUGCUUCAUUUAUUUUGUUACGUUGUCUUGCAGAAUUGCUCCUUUUAUCAUGAUGAAAUGCCCGUCUUUAUCAGUGAUAACUUUCCUUGGUUUGAAGUCUGCUCUGUCUGAAAAUAAAGUAACUACUCCUGGGACUUCCCUGGCGGCCCAGUGGUUAGGACUCUGUGUUUUCAUUGCUAAGGCGCGGGUUCAGUCCUGGUCAGGGAACUAAGACCCCUCAAGCCGUGGCACCGUCAAAACAAAAACCAAAAAACUACUCCUGCUUGCUUGCUUUUUUUUUUUCUUUUUAUCAAUUUAUUUGUUUUUAUUUUUGGCUGUGUUGGGGUCUUCAUUGUGGUGCGCGGGCUUCUCAUUGUGGUGGCUUCUUGUUGUGGAGCACGGGCUCCAGGUGCGCAGGCUUCAGUAGUUGUGGCAUACAGGCUCAGUAGUUGUGGCUUGCGGGCUCUAGAGUGCAGGCUCAGUAGUUGUGGCACAUGGGCUUAGUUGCUCCACAGUAUGUGGGAUCUUACUGGACCAGGGCUCGAACCCGUGUCCCCUGCAUUGGCAGGCGGAUUCUCAACCACUGUGCCACCAGGGAAGCCCCUCCUACUUUCUUUUGAUUAGUGUUAGCAUGGUAUCUUUUUCUCCAUUAAUUUACUUUUAAUCUAUAUUAAGUGUCUUUAUAUUUAAAGUUUCUUGUAGACAACAUAUAGUUGAGCCUUGUUUUUUGAUCCAUUCUGACAAUCUAUGUUUUUUAUUGGUAUAUUUAGACCAUUGAUGUUCAAAGUGAUUAUUUGUUUGUUUGUUUGCUGUACGCGGGCCUCUCACCGCUGCAGCCUCUCCCAUUGCGGAGCACAGGCUCCAGACGCACAGGCUCAGCGGCCAUGGCUCAUGGGCCCAGCCGCUCCGCGGCAUGUGGGAUCCCCCCGGACCGGGGCACGAACCCGUGUGCCCUGCAUCGGCAGGCGGACUCCCAACCACUGCGCCACCAGGGAAGCCCCUCAAAGUGAUUAUUGAUAUAGUUGGAUUAAUAUCUACCACAUCUGUUAUUGUUUUGUAUUGUUGUCCUUGUUUUUUGAAAAUGUUAUGCCUAGGUAGUCGUUUUUUUGUUUGUUUUUUGCAUUUAUCCUGAUUGGUAUUCUCUGAGCUUCCUGGAUCUGGCGGGAAAUUCUCAUUCAUUCUUGUUUCAAACAUUUCUUCUGCUCCUUUCUUUCUGGUACUUCCAUUUUCUCUGGUACUCCUGUAACACAUAGGUUAUACCUUAUGUAGCUGCCCCACGGUCCUUGGAUGUUCUGUUUUUUUUUUUUUUUUUUCCCCAGUCUUUCUUCUCUUAGCUUUUUACUUGUGAAAGUUUCUAUUGAUGCAUCCUGAAGUGCAGAGAUUCUCUCCUCAGUUGUGUCCAGUCGACUAGCAAGCCCAUCAUAGACAUUUCUGUUACAAUGUUCUUUAUAGUUUUUUUUUUUUUUUUUUUUUUUGUGGUACGCGGGCCUCUCACUGUUGCGGCCUCUCCCGUUGCAGAGCACAGGCUCCGGACGCGCAGGCUCAGCGGCCAUGGCUCACGGGCCCAGCCGUUCCGCGGCAUGUGGGAUCUUCCCGGACCGGGGCACGAACCCGUGUCCCCUGCAUCGGCAGGCGGAUUCUCAACCACUGCGCCACCAGGGAAGCCCUAUAGUUCUUUUUAAGGAUUUCCAUCUCUACGCUUACAUCGCCUAUUUGUUCUUGCAUGCUGUCUACUUUAUCCAUUAGAGUCCUUAACAUAUUAUUCCUAGUUGUUUUAGAUCCCGUCUGAUAACACCAACACCCCUGCCACGUCUGGUUCUGAUGCUUGCUCUGUCUCUACAAAUUGUUUUCCUUUUAGUUAAUACUUCUAAUUUUUUGACGACUGGACAUGAUGUACUGGAUAAAAGGAGCUGCUGUACACAGGUUUUCAGUGACAUGGUUUAGUCAUCUCAUCAGAGAUCACCUGAGAGACCCAUGUUAAAAUCUAAUUUUGUAUUGCUAUGGAUGUAAACACGGAGGGGUAACAAGAGGCAGUAUUCCAGAGACCUACGGACAUCAGCAAUCCAUACCACAGACUUCCUAGUAGCUGGACAAUCCAAGUGUUAACAGUGUGGGGACCGGAAUACCCAUGUGCCUAUUUAGACAAGAUUUUCAUCUCAUGGGAGGAUGUGUCUCAGGCUGAGGAGCAAGUCUGCAGAAGAAAUGGCAGCUACAAGAACCUCAAAGUAAGU